AUUGAACGCUGGCGGCAGGCCUAACACAUGCAAGUCGAGCGGCAGCGCGGGGCAACCUGGCGGCGAGCGGCGAACGGGUGAGUAAUACAUGGGAAUCUGCCUGGUAGUGGGGGAUAACUCUGGGAAACUAGAGGUAAUACCGCAUACGUCCUACGGGAGAAAGCGGGGGAUCUUCGGACCUCGCGCUAUCAGAGGAGCCCAUGUCCGAUUAGCUAGUUGGUGAGGUAAAGGCUCACCAAGGCGACGAUCGGUAACUGGUCUGAGAGGAUGGUCAGUCACACUGGAACUGAGACACGGUCCAGACUCCUACGGGAGGCAGCAGUGGGGAAUAUUGGACAAUGGGGGCAACCCUGAUCCAGCCAUGCCGCGUGUGUGAAG
rnacentral:rRNA from 1 species